rnacentral:rRNA from 1 species
GUAGGCAGCAAGCGUUGUUCGGAGUUACUGGGCGUAAAGGGUGUGUAGGCGGCUCUCUAAGUUUGGUGUGAAAUCUCCCGGCUCAACUGGGAGGGUGCGCCGAAUACUGAAGGGCUAGAGUGCGGGAGAGGAGAGUGGAAUUCCUGGUGUAGCGGUGAAAUGCGUAGAUAUCAGGAGGAACACCGGUGGUGUAGACGGCUCUCUGGACCGUAACUGACGCUGAGACACGAAAGCGUGGGUAGCAAACAGGAUUAGAUACCCUGGUAGUCCACGCCCUAAACGAUGCAUAUUUGGUGUGGGUCAUUCAGUUGAUCCGUGCCGGAGCUAACGCGUUAAAUAUGCCGCCUGGGGAGUACAGUCGCAAGG